rnacentral:rRNA from 1 species
CCUACGGGAGGCAGCAGUGAGGAAUAUUGGUCAAUGGGCGGGAGCCUGAACCAGCCAAGUCGCGUGAAGGAAGAAGGUACUUAGUAUUGUAAACUUCUUUUGUCGGGGAACAAAGGCGGAGACGCGUCUCCGGAUGAGUGUACCCGAAGAAAAAGCAUCGGCUAACUCCGUGCCAGCAGCCGCGGUAAUACGGGGGAUGCGAGCGUUAUCCGGAUUUAUUGGGUUAAAAGGGUGCGCAGGCGGGAGAUCAAGUCAGCGGUAAAAUGUCGGGGCUCAACCCCGGCCGGCCGGUGAAACUGGUUUUCUAGAGUUGGAGAGAAGUAUGCGGAAUUCGUGGUGUAGCGGUGAAAUGCAUAGAUAUCACGAAGAACUCCGAUGGCGAAGGCAGCCUGCCGCAGCGUUACUGACGCUGAAGCUCGAAAGCGCGGGUAUCGAACAGGAUUAGAUACCCGUGUAGUC